UGCUGCUGCGUCUCGCCGGAACUCUCGCAUCGACGAGAAGCAAUAUGGCUUGCUCUGUCAUUCCUAUGUCCUCGUCCUCUCCUCACGCCGGGCUUCUCUCUUCCUCUUCUUCUACUUCACACCGAAGCCUAUCCAUUCAUUGACCAUCUCGUCGACGGACGGACAAGUGUGAGAGGGCUGCCCUUCUCGGGGGCAGAUAGCAGCAAGCCAGUCCUCCCUCUCUCUGGUUUCAUUCAACAAGAAGCAGGUAAAACCCUGUGAGCUGAACAUGUCAGGACGUUUGCUGGGAAGACUGGACAUGUUGAACCUAAGUGACAAACACGAUUCCCGUAACCUCGGCAACGGACACUCCUCAGCCCCCUCCCCGUUGAAACUUUUUGGCCAAGCCAAGAAACGCAUCAAUGACAUCUUCAGAGAGAUUGGGGAGUACAUUUAUGAAUGUGAUUCCUUUGUUCAAGAAACCUUGAAAGUUGCUCAAGAUCUCGUAACAGAUGAUUAUGCAGAAAGAGUGAAAGGGUUCAAGCAGAAAGUGGAUGGAAUUGUAGAAGUGUUAUCCAGGGAUCACAUGAAAGUGGUCUUUUUUGGUCGGACAUCAAACGGUAAAAGUACUGUGAUAAAUGCUAUGUUGAGGGACAAGAUACUGCCAAGUGGUAUAGGGCACACCACAAACUGUUUCCUCCAGGUCGAAGGGUCUGACUCCAACGAGGCUGUCUUACUCACUGCCGACUCAGACACGCCCAAGAGUAUCAAUGACAUCAAGCAAUUGGCCCACGCCCUCAGCAACUUAAAGCUUGAUUCAAAUGCGUGCAUACGGAUUCUUUGGCCAAAAGACAAGUGCCGCCUGCUCAAAGAAGAUGUAAUCCUAGUUGACAGCCCUGGCAUUGAUGUGUCCCCUGAUCUUGACAACUGGAUUGAUGCUCACUGUUUGGAUGCAGAUGUCUUCGUUCUGGUUGCCAAUGCUGAAUCAACCCUCAUGCAAACUGAAAAGAAUUUUUUCCACAAAGUCAGCUCUAAACUCUCUAAACCAAAUAUCUUUAUCUUACAAAACAGAUGGGAUGUUUCGGCUAUUGAAGAAGAUAUUGAAGCAGUCAGAAAACAACACAUGGAACGCAAUGUCCAAUUUCUUGGUAAGGAACUGAAUGUAGUGCGACCAGAAGACGCUGAAACCCGUGUGUUCUUUGUGUCGGCACGAGAAGCCUUAAUGUCCCGGUUACAUGAAGAUAAAGGAACGCCAACACCAGUUGGUGCCUUACAGGAAGGUUUUCAAGUUCGUUUAUUUGAAUUUGCAAACUUUGAACGAACAUUUGAGGAAUGUAUCUCCAAGUCUGCUGUGAAGACAAAGUUUGAAUUACACACAGAACGUGGUAAACACAUCAGCAGUAACUUGCGCACCGUAAUGGAAGAUGUGCAUCAAAGAAGUCUCCAACGCAGAGAUGAUCAGACAAAGGUCCUCGAGGAAAAAACCAAUGAGCUAGAAUUUAUGGUGAAACAGCUGAAAAUUGUCACUGCAGACAUCAAAGAGAAGAUCAAAGACAUGGUCGAUAACGUGGAACGGAAGGUGGGCAGUGCACUUAACGAAGAAAUUCAUCGGCUUUCUAUUGUGGUUGAUGAGUUUGAUCGACCUUUCCAUCCAGAUAUGCUCAUGUUGAAUAUCUACAAGAAAGAGUUGUAUUCAUACGUCGAGGAGAUGCUGGGCCGCAACAUGCAUGGACGUUGCUCUCGUGUGUUGAGCAAACCAGUGGUAGAAACACGACAGAAAAUCACAGAGCAAAUGGCCACUCUCCUGAAAGAUAAAGAGAAAAUCCAAAACAAACUGCCGUUCCCAAACCGGGACUUUGAGCUUAUGUAUCGGUUAGACUGUCGCAACCUCUGUGCUGACUUCCAUGAAGACAUUGAGUUCCGAUUCUCUUUUGGUCCGACAGCUCUCAUGCAACGGUUUUUCUUGCCAAUGAAGAAACAGAAUUAUUUAAUCGGAGGAAUUACGACCCCACAAUCCCAACAGCCAGCAGCCACAGAUGUAUCUCAAUCCAGUGAAGUCCUUGUUGCUAUGUUAAGCACAUUUGCCUCAGUCACCUCUCGCACCACAGUCGGUGCCAUGGUUCUCGUAGGAAUGAUUGCUAAAGCAGCUGGUUGGCGGGUGAUUGCAGUGAGUGGGGCCCUGUAUGGUCUGCUCUACUGCUACGAGCGGUUAACAUGGACCAACAAGGCCAAGGAACGAGCUUUCAAACGCCAGUACGUGGAAUACGCCAGCAGCAAGCUACGUCUGAUUGUUGACUUGACCAGCUCCAACUGCAGUCACCAGGUGAAACAGGAGCUGACCUCCACCUUCUCCGUUGUGUGCCACCAAGUUGACCUGUCCAAGAGUCAAUUGGAAGAUGAAAUCAAUAAAAUCCAGAAGGACAUUGACCAGUUAAAGGACGUCACUUCCAAGUCAAAGACACUCAGAAUGACAUUGUAGGGUAGGUGUGAGAAGCUAGAUUUGCCCAGUUUGAACAUAAAACAGAAUAUUUUAGCCGGAUUCCAGCAGUUUGAACCUGAAGCAGAAACAAAGCUGAUUGGUUAGACAGUGAAUUGAAGUCCUUCACCAACCAAUACCUCCAGCAUGAGGUUUGAACCAGGGUCCAGUUUAGUUUUACGUAUGGAUGCAGCUGCUUCUGUCCACUAUGAUAGACACAGUGACCGAGUGAAGCAGAACUCUGCUUGUUUGGCAACAAACCGAGCUGUCAGUUGGCAAAGAACUGUAAAAAGCGGGGACAGUUUCAUGAAGUCUGAUCUGAUUAGUUGGUCAGCUGAUUCCAUCAUCUAUGUAUAUUAAAAGUACAGCCUUAUAGCUUUGUCUUCUCUCUCUGUCUGUCUGUCUCUCCCUCUGUCUGUUUCUUGAAGAUUCUGUGGACUAUACUAUCAGAGAGUGUAUAUAUUAUGUGUAUCAGCAGGAGAUGAAACCACAUAUACACUUUAUAUGCAUGUGUAUAUAAAUAUGUACACACGUGCAUACACAUACACACACACACAUACAUACAUAUACAUAUGCACACACAUAUACAUACCAGCCUAUGUGUGUGCAUAUAAGUUUUAGUGAUUCCAACCAAAACCAUGUUGAUGCACUAUCUUUGUUUCUGCAUGAAUCUCUGUGUGUGUGUGUGUGUGGAUAUGUUGACACAGACAUGACCAAAUGGUUAAGAAAUUCACUUUACAACCAUGCAGUCCCAGGUUCAUUUCCACCAUGUGCCACCUGGGACUGGUGUCUGUUUCCAUUGACCCAAAUAUCCUGCUAACUGAAAACCGAUGGAUGGGAUCUGUGUGUGUGUGUGUGUGUGUGUAUGAAUGUAUGUGUAUAUGAGUGUGCAUGUAAUUAUAUAUAUAUAUAUAUAUACUCAUGCAUGUGUAUAUGAAUGUAUGUGUGUGUCUAUGUUUAUGUAUGUAUAUGUAUGUAUGUAUGUAUAGAUAUAUACACACAUACACACACAGAGGAAGUUUAUAAAUGGAAAAUAAAUUCUCUCUAAAAGUGUUCUCUAUUUUUCUCCCCCCCCCUUUCUUCUCUCUCUCUCUCUCUCUCUCUCUCUCUCUCUUUACACAGGAUCUUCCCUAUUGGGAGCCCUCUACCUAGGACCAGAGCCGUCUUCAGUGAACUCUUAAUACAAAACCUUAUUGGUGGUGAAUUCUCAAAGGACAAGCACCAUUCUAGAUGGGGAUCUCUUUUGUGGAACUUUAUAGAAAGAUCUCUGCAAGAAUCUGUAUUUAUUUCUCUAACCCAGAUUACAAUACUUAUUAAAAAAAAAGAAAAAUCAAAAUAUUAUAUAUUGAAAUAAUAUAUCUUCACAAAAAUUUCAAGCAUAUUAUUAUUAUUAUUGUUAUUAUUAUUAUUAUUAUUGUUAUUAUUAUUAUUAUUAUUGUUAUUAUUAUUAUUAUUAUUAUUAUUAUUAUUAUUAUUAUUAUUAUUAUUAUUGAAGGUGGGGAGCUGGCAGAAUGAUUAGCAUGCUGGGUGAAAUGCUUAGUAGCAUUUCAUCUUCCGCUAUGUUCUGAGUUCAAAUUCCGCCAAUGUUGACUUUGUUUUUCAUCAUUUCGGGGUUGAUGAAAUUAAGUACCAAUUGAAGACAGGGGUCGAUACCAUUGACUACCCCCCACCCUCAGCCCUUCUACAUAAUGGGGGCCAUGUACCUAGAGUAGGAAGGCUUUAUUACUCUUAUUAACCAGCUGUGCUGGCAGAAUCCUCAUCAGAUCAGACAAAAUGUUUACUGACAUUUCUUCUGGCUCUUUUUACGUUCUGAGUUUAAAUUCCACCAAAGUUGAUAUUAUUUUUAUGUUAUUUUGGGAUAAAACAAAGUACCUAUCUACUAAUGGGGUCAAUCUAAUCAACUGACCCUCCCCACCUCAAAAUUGCAGGCCUUAUGCCUAAAUUUAAAACCAUUAUUAUUAUUAUUUUUAUCAUCAGAGGUGGUAAGCUGGCAGAAUCGUUAGCAUGCCAGGCAAAAUGCUUAGCAGUAUUUCGUUUGCUGCUACGCUCUGAGUUCAAAUUCCACCGAGGUCUACUUUGCCUUUCAUUCUUUCGGGGUUGAUAAAUCAAGUACCAGUUGCGUACUGAGGCCAUUGCAAUCGACUUAAUCCCUUCCCCAAAAAAUUUGAAGCCUUGUGCUUCCAGUAGAAAAGAUAAUUAUUAUUAUUAUUGUCGUUUUUGUUACUAGGAUGGUAACUUAGCAGAACAUUACCACCCUUGGACGAGAUGCUGAACAGCAUUUCUUGUGGCACUUUACACUGAGGUCUGCUGAGGUCAACUUUGGCUUUCAUCUUUUCAGUGAAAUAAGUACCAGUCGUGCACUGGGGUCAAUAUAUCCAGCUUACCCCCACCGCACAAUAUCAAGUCUUGUGCCUAGAGUAGAAAGAUUAUUAUUAUCAUUAUUAGAUAUUAAUUAUUAAGCAGAGAAUGUCUUUAUUUUUGUUAAUUGUUUGAAGUGAACAAGAGUCCUAUUGUUUCCUUGUCUUUUAAUCUUCAGGUGAAACAGGAAACUAAAUUAAUCUAAGUGGAGAAAUAUUAACCAUCUUUUGUAAAAUUGGUGGGUUUGAUGUGGAAACAGCUCAAAUUCUGUAUAAAAUGUAAUCAAUGAAAUGACUUUACAAAA